ACUGUAGUUUGUCUCUAAAUUUUUACUUCAUCGUUUUUAAUUAUCCAUUGAAAAUGCCUAUAGCAAAGAUAGCAAGUGGUAGAUUUAUGUUUUUGAUAGUACAGGAACGAACGAUAACUCUUGCGAUGGUAUGCGACAUAAACAAAGGAUAAGCACGGAGUCUGAUGCCUGUAGAUGAAAUUCCGAGGGAAAAAAUAGUUCAAUUUGAAAAAUUAAUGCGUGUUUAUGAGUACAGAAGGAACAUAGGGAAACGGGUAAUAUUAAUGCUUUAAAUUUUUAAAUAAACAAGGGUGUGUUUAAAUCUAUUUAAAAAAGAUUAUUAGAAUAUUAAUGAUACAAUGCCUAUAAAUUAUUUGUAAACAUACCAACGUUUCGCGUAGUAAUCUCAGACAAUACUGCAUAACGUUAUGCAGUGUAAAAUUUUUGUCAACAAAUCCACGUUGAGAAAAACUGGUGACUGUCCAUCUUCGACAUACGUAAGAUGAAUGUCAAGAAACUGAUUAACAUUAACUGACAAGAGGAGACAAUGAUAUCCCAACAUCAUUCUUCAUCUCUGGUGAAGGGGAGAGUUGCUAAAUUUGGGUGCACAGCUAAAUUCAAGCAAAACAAAGAAAAAGACGGAUGCUAUAAAAAUGUGGUGUUGGCUUCCCAGUUCAGCACUUUUAAAGAGGGACAAACAUUGUACGUUUGCAACUUCUAAAUGGAAGCAGGGCAUCUGAAAUAUGCUAGAAUCCUCAUCUUAAUGGCCUUAACGCCAUUUUCAAGAUUAUCCUGCUGAAAAAGACAGUUGUCAUUGGUAUAAUGGAUGCAAGACAACACUAGUGAAUUGAAAUUGUUGUUACCACAAAUGGCACACUCCAGGAUUACAAGCUUUCCAAAAACACCAUUACGGCAUGCAGCUAU